AUUGAACGCUGGCGGCAUGCCUUACACAUGCAAGUCGAACGGUAACAGGUCUUCGGAUGCUGACGAGUGGCGAACGGGUGAGUAAUACAUCGGAACGUGCCUAGUAGUGGGGGAUAACUACUCGAAAGAGUGGCUAAUACCGCAUGAGAUCUACGGAUGAAAGCAGGGGAUCGCAAGGCCUUGUGCUACUAGAGCGGCCGAUGGCAGAUUAGGUAGUUGGUGGGAUAAAAGCUUACCAAGCCGACGAUCUGUAUCUGGUCUGAGAGGACGAUCAGCCACACUGGGACUGAGACACGGCCCAGACUCCGACAGGAGGCAGCAGUGGGGAAUUUUGGACAAUGGGCGCAAGCCUGAUCCAGCAAUGCCGCGUGCAGGAUGAGGGCCUUCGGGUUGUAAACUGCUUUUGUACGGAACGAAAAGCCCCGGGUUAAUACCCUGGGGUCAUGACGGUACCGUAAGAAUAAGCACCGGCUAACUACGUGCCAGCCGCCGCAGUAA
rnacentral:rRNA from 1 species